GAUAGUACCUUACUACUUGGAUAACCGUGGUAAUUCUAGAGCUAAUACAUGCUGAAAACCCCAACUUCGGAAGGGGUGUAUUUAUUAGAUAAAAAACCAACGCCCUUCGGGGCUUCUUGGUGAUUCAUGAUAACUUAACGGAUCGCAUGGCCUUGCGCCGGCGACGGUUCAUUCAAAUUUCUGCCCUAUCAACUUUCGAUGGUAAGGUAUUGGCUUACCAUGGUUUCAACGGGUAACGGGGAAUUAGGGUUCGAUUCCGGAGAGGGAGCCUGAGAAACGGCUACCACAUCCAAGGAAGGCAGCAGGCGCGCAAAUUACCCAAUCCCGACACGGGGAGGUAGUGACAAUAAAUACUGAUACAGGGCUCUUUUGGGUCUUGUAAUUGGAAUGAGUACAAUUUAAACCUCUUAACGAGGAACAAUUGGAGGGCAAGUCUGGUGCCAGCAGCCGCGGUAAUUCCAGCUCCAAUAGCGUAUAUUAAAGUUGUUGCAGUUAAAAAGCUCGUAGUUGAACCUUGGGUCUGGCUGGCAGGUCCGCCUCACCGCGUGUACUUGUCCGGCCGGGCCUUCCUUCUGGAGAACCUCAUGCCCUUCACUGGGCGUGUUGGGGACCAGGACUUUUACUUUGAAAAAAUUAGAGUGUUCAAAGCAGGCCUUUGCUCGAAUACGUUAGCAUGGAAUAAUAAAAUAGGACGUGCGGUCCUAUUUUGUUGGUUUCUAGGACCGCCGUAAUGAUUAAUAGGGACAGUCGGGGGCAUCAGUAUUCAAUUGUCAGAGGUGAAAUUCUUGGAUUUAUUGAAGACUAACUACUGCGAAAGCAUUUGCCAAGGAUGUUUUCAUUAAUCAGUGAACGAAAGUUAGGGGAUCGAAGACGAUCAGAUACCGUCGUAGUCUUAACCGUAAACUAUGCCGACUAGGGAUCGGGCGAUGUUCUUUUUCUGACUCGCUC
rnacentral:rRNA from 1 species